rnacentral:rRNA from 1 species
UAUUAUGAGAGUUUGAUCCUGGCUCAGGACGAACGCUGGCGGCGUGCCUAAUACAUGCAAGUCGAACG